rnacentral:rRNA from 1 species
AGUGAACGCUGGCGGUAGGCCUAACACAUGCAAGUCGAACGGCAGCACAGUAAGAGCUUGCUCUUACGGGUGGCGAGUGGCGGACGGGUGAGGAAUACAUCGGAAUCUACUUUUUCGUGGGGGGUAACGUAGGGAAACUUACGCUAAUACCGCAUACGACCUACGGGUGAAAGCAGGGGAUCUUCGGACCUUGCGCGAUUGAAUGAGCCGAUGUCGGAUUAGCUAGUUGGCGGGGUAAAGGCCCACCAAGGCGACGAUCCGUAGCUGGUCUGAGAGGAUGAUCAGCCACACUGGAACUGAGACACGGUCCAGACUCCUACGGGAGGCAGCAGUGGGGAAUAUUGGACAAUGGGCGCAAGCCUGAUCCAGCCAUACCGCGUGGGUGAAGAAGGCCUUCGGGUUGUAAAGCCCUUUUGUUGGGAAAGAAAAGCAGCAGGUUAAUACCCCGCUGUUCUGACGGUACCUAAAGAAUAAGCACCGGCUAACUUCGUG